rnacentral:lncRNA from 1 species
CGGGCCCACCACAUCCCCGAGGACCCUGGCCACCUGGAGCUGUGCCGGCUGCCCCCUUCCUCUCAGGCCUGUGACGCCUGGGCUGGGGGCAAGGCCGGGAGUGCUGUGAUCUCGGAGGAGGGCAGAAGCCCCGGGUCCGGUGAGGCCACGCCAGAGGCCUGGGUCAUCCGGGCUCUGCCGCGGGUCCAGGAGGUCCUGAAGAUCUACCCUGGCUGGCUCAAGUGAGACUGGGCCCGAGGCUCAGGGUCUGCUGGGCGGGGUGGGGGGAGCUCCAGCUCAGGCUGUGUCCCCACAGGGUGGGCGUGGCCUAUGUGUCCGUGCGAGUGACCCCGAAGAGCACGGCCCGCUCCGUGGUGCUGGAGGUCCUGCCGCUGCUUGGCCGCCAGGCCGAGGGUCCCGAGAGCUUCCAGCUGGUGGAGGUGGCGAUGGGCUGCAGGCAUGUCCAGCGGACGAUGCUGAUGGACGAACAGCCCC